UACGUAGGGGGCAAGCGUUGUCCGGAAUCAUUGGGCGUAAAGAGCGCGUAGGCGGCCCUGUAAGUCCGCUGUGAAAGUCAAGGGCUCAACCCUUGAAUGCCGGUGGAUACUGCAGGGCUAGAGUCCGGAAGAGGCGAGUGGAAUUCCUGGUGUAGCGGUGGAAUGCGCAGAUAUCAGGAGGAACACCAACGGCGAAGGCAGCUCGCUGGGACGGUACUGACGCUGAGGCGCGAAAGCGUGGGGAGCGAACAGG
rnacentral:rRNA from 1 species